UACGUAGGGGGCAAGCGUUGUCCGGAAUCACUGGGCGUAAGGGGCGCGUAGGCGGCGCGGAUAGUCGGCGGUGAAAGCCCGGAGCUCAACUCCGGGUCGGCCGUCGAUACUUCCGGGCUUGAGCACUGUAGAGGCAGAUGGAAUUCCGGGUGUAGCGGUGGAAUGCGUAGAGAUCCGGAAGAACACCGGUGGCGAAGGCGGUCUGCUGGGCAGUUGCUGACGCUGAUGCGCGACAGCGUGGGGAGCAAACAGG
rnacentral:rRNA from 1 species